rfam:Actinokineospora spheciospongiae strain EG49 contig1282_1, whole genome shotgun sequence.
GUCCCCAUGGUCCAACGGAGAGGGCACCGGUCUACGGAACCGGCGAUCCAGGUUCGAUUCCUGGUGGGGACG